rnacentral:rRNA from 1 species
UAAGCGGAGGAAAAGAAACUAACAAGGAUUCCCCUAGUAACGGCGAGUGAACCGGGAAGAGCUCAAAUUUGAAAUCUGGCGUCCUCAGGGCGUCCGAGUUGUAAUCUAUAGAGGCGUUUUCCGUGCCGGACCGUGUCCAAGUUCCUUGGAACAGGAUAUCAAAGAGGGUGACAAUCCCGUACUUGACACGACGACCGGUGCUCUGUGAUACGUCUUCUACGAGUCGAGUUGUUUGGGAAUGCAGCUCAAAAUGGGUGGUGAGUUCCAUCUAAAGCUAAAUAUUGGCGAGAGACCGAUAGCGAACAAGUACCGUGAGGGAAAGAUGAAAAGCACUUUGGAAAGAGAGUUAAACAGUACGUGAAAUUGUUGAAAGGGAAACGAUUGAAGUCAGUCGUGACCGAGAGGCUCAGCCGGUUCUGCCGGUGUAUUCCCCUCGGUCGGGUCAACAUCAGUUUUGUCCGGUGGAUAAGGACGGUAGGAAGGUGGCACCCUCGGGUGUGUUAUAGCCUGCCGUCGCAUACAUCGGGUGAGACUGAGGAACGCAGCUCGCCUUUAUGGCCGGGGUUCGCCCACGUCCGAGCUUAGGAUGUUGACAUAAUGGCUUUAAACGACCCGUCUUGAAACACGGAC